CACGUAGGGCGCAAGCGUUGUCCGGAAUUAUUGGGCGUAAAGAGCUCGUAGGCGGUGUGUCGCGUCGGCCGUGAAAACCUGCAGCUUAACUGUGGGCUUGCGGUCGAUACGGGCAUCACUGGAGUUCGGCAGGGGAGACUGGAAUCCUGGUGUAGCGGUGAAAUGCGCAGAUAUCAGGAGGAACACCGGUGGCGAAGGCGGGUCUCUGGGCCGAUACUGACGCUGAGGAGCGAAAGCGUGGGGAGCGAACGG
rnacentral:rRNA from 1 species